AACGGUUACCAAACCAACAUUCACAUUCCAUCUUCACGCGUCAUGGUCACAAUGCGUUUUGGUCACCACGCGUGAUGGUUUUUGGCGGUGGCGGUGUAUCAAGUUAAUCCACGCGCCACGCGUGGUCUUUGGGCCACAACGCGGCGCCCCGACCCCGCUAAAAUAAACACACAAACACACACUUGAAUUAAAAACUCUCUUGAUUUCUUCAACUAUUCAAUACAGUACACCUGCUUCACCAUCCCCAUAAACAUGCCCGAAAGCAAGAAAGUGGUUAUUAAAGUGGAUAUCCAUGACAACAAUGACAAAAGGAAAGUAUUAAAGGCGGUUUCGAGUCUUUUAGGGAUCGACUCCUUGGCUAUCGAUAAGGACAAGAAACUACGAUCAUUGGAGACGUUGAUCCAGGGGACGUCGUCAGAAAACUUAAAAAAUGGCACACCGGUAUACUCACAGUCGGACCUGCAAAAGAACCAAGUCCCCAGAAGCCAAAAGAUGGUGGUGAGAAGAAUCUGAAUGAUCCCAAGGGUGGUUUUAUUUGUUUGCUUUUAUCCUGUGGAAGAUUACAAUGCUUACAAUCCUUAUCUAACACAAUGGCGUGCUCAUUCUGUGGAAGAUGAUCCCUGGGGUUAUGUUAUUUUGUAAAAGAGAAGAUGCAUUAGUAGACCAAGAAAAUAAUGGUGCCGCAGAAAAUAAUGGAGAAGGUAGGAAUCGAACUUGGGUCCCUUAGAACACCAAGUCUCCCCCCUUACCACUCCACUAUCACCUCAUCGUUUGAUGUGUUUUAUAACUAGACUGAAUAUUAAAUUGUUUGU